rnacentral:rRNA from 1 species
UACGUAGGGGGCAAGCGUUGUCCGGAAUCAUUGGGCGUAAAGAGCGUGUAGGCGGCUCGGUAAGUCCGCUGUAAAAGUCCAGGGCUCAACCCUGGAAAGCCGGUGGAAACUGUCGAGCUAGAGUCCGGAGGAGGCGAGUGGAAUUCCUGGUGUAGCGGUGAAAUGCGCAGAUAUCAGGAGGAACACCAAUGGCGAAGGCAGCUCGCUGGGACGGUACUGACGCUGAGACGCGAAAGCGUGGGGAGCAAACAGG